GUCCACGCCGUAAACGAUGUGUGUUUGUCGCCGGGGGUUCACUCUUCGGUGACGCAGCUAACGCGUUAAACACACCGCCUGGGAAGUACGGCCGCAAGGUUAAAACUCAAAGGAAUUGACGGGGACCCGCACAAGCGGUGGAGUAUGUGGUUUAAUUCGUCGCAACGCGAAGAACCUUACCAGGCCUUGACAUGCCCUCUAUGGGCCCCAGAGACGGGGUCCUUCACUUCGGGUGGGAGGGACACAGGUGCUGCAUGGCUGUCGU
rnacentral:rRNA from 1 species